GCUGAUGUAGCAUAAUUUGGUAAUGCAAAAGACCUAAACUCUUUUACCGAGGGUUCAAACCCCCCCAUCACCU
rnacentral:tRNA from 1 species